rnacentral:rRNA from 1 species
UACGGAGGGGGCUAGCGUUGUUCGGAAUUACUGGGCGUAAAGCGCGCGUAGGCGGAUCUGCAAGUCGGGGGUGAAAUCCCGAGGCUCAACCUCGGAACUGCCUUCAAUACUGCGGGUCUCGAGUCCGGGAGAGGUGAGUGGAAUUCCUAGUGUAGAGGUGAAAUUCGUAGAUAUUAGGAAGAACACCAGUGGCGAAGGCGGCUCACUGGCCCGGGUACUGACGCUGAGGCGCGAAAGCGUGGGGAGCAAACAGG